rnacentral:lncRNA from 1 species
CUCCAGGAAAUACUGGAUCUGUUGCUUGUGGCUGUCGUUCCCCCUCCGUCUCCGCUCUCUCUCCCUCAUUGGUGGAGGGACGACUGCUCUGCACCUUCUCCGGUUCUCCCUUUUUUUUCCCUUCCCAGUAACUCCGCUGGUUCCUCUGGAGCAGACGGCUCAGUGGAGGCAGCGUACAUCAUUACCCAGAAUGCAACAGGUGUGAGACGUCCUGCUGAAGUCACCUCUACACCUCAUCUAUGUUCCGGCCAAUCCCCACGUCCUUCUCUCAGGCGCCAUAGCAACCGCACAGAUGGAGCCGUCUCCAGCUGCUGCCUGGAGGUGACCAGUCAAGGAUUCUGGGUGUGUUGAGUGGACUCGACGCCCUGCAGGUGCUUUCAGAGAGUUCGGGACCCCAGAACAAACCCGGUUCAUCAGUUUGUCAUCUGACGGGAAGCAACCUGCUUCUCACCAUGUAGCCGCGACAACCUGCGGAAACGUUCCUCUGAGCCAGGCUGAUUACAACACGCUGAGCUCAGCAGUUGCACCAGCAGACACACACACACAGAACGCGUCAGGUCAUUAGCAGCUGCAGAACUUCCUGUUUCAUCUUUGAGUUCUGCGUAAUCAUCGUUUUAAUUAACGGCGACGGCGGCAUGAACCACCCCCUCAACACCCCUCCCACGGCGCCACACAAACCUGAGAGCAAUUAGUGACAGUGGACCUAGAUGGAGGGUGGACGCGGACAGACCAGACGAUGAAACGACAAUAGUAGAAGAAGAAAAGAGCAUCGGCCAGUCAGAGGGAGGGGCAGGGGGCGGGGCUACGGAGAUGGCGAGACAGGGACAGACCCCUGGGAGAAGGAGCUGCUGUGGGUUGACUGACAGGUGCUGGAACACCGUUCUUGGACCGAUUGGAGGAACGAUUCUCUCCACCAUCGUCGGGCAUCUGAGGCCCGAGUGAGACGGCGGCGGAGGCCAUCAUCUCUGUCCCUGCUAAACUUUUUUCUCAGAACAAACCUGGGACUUCCUGCCUCGGUGGAGAACUUUCUCAGCUGUCGUUCCAGUCUGGAUGCGUCUCACCUGUCUCACAUUAAAGACAAACACACGGGAGGACUGAAGCUGGACCGCUGACCUGACCUGGAUCCACCUGAGACCAGGUCCAUAUCAGCUCCUGGGGUCGUCUUCUUUCUGUGAGUACUUCUGGGACUCCUUGAGUCUUUUCUUUGAUCUCCUCAGCUUAGCUUGAGCUGUUUUAUCUUCUGUCAUCUUGGAUUUACGGGGUUCUGGAUGUUUAGUCUGUCUUCUUCUAUGGUUUGAUGUGAUUCUCUUUUGUUGAGUUGAAUUUCCACAUUAUUGAUAAAAUAGUCCUAAUACAUGCCU